rnacentral:misc_RNA from 1 species
GCUAAAAAAAAAAACACUCCUGCUCUCUGUAUAGAUACAGAUUGGGUAUGGCUAAGAAAGAAGAAAAGUAUAUAUAAAAGCUGAAGAGUUGUGUUAUAUGAUAUUAUUAAGGGUCACCGUACUCAUGCCAGCAAACUAACAUAACAAUACACCGCCGGAGAAUGUAGAAUCUCGCCCUCUGCUCUUUCACUAGCCUACUGCAUCUCCGGCCGAAUGAUCUGCACGGAUCUCGCACGUGCCUGUUACAGAAGCUUUUGUUUUCUUGCUUCAUCUUCUUUGUUCUUGGGUUGGAGAAGAAGAAGAAGAAGGAGGAGGUUGAGAGAGAGAUGAUAAAAAUUGAAAUAGUAGAAUAUAGAAUAAUUAUAUUCUGCUGCUUAGAACGGUAAAUUAAACAAAUGCCACUGUAAAAGAGAGAAAAU